GAUGAACGCUGGCGGCGUGCCUAAUACAUGCAAGUCGAGCGAACGGACGAGAAGCUUGCUUCUAUGAUGUUAGCGGCGGACGGGUGAGUAACACGUGGAUAACCUACCUAUAAGACUGGGAUAACUUCGGGAAACCGGAGCUAAUACCGGAUGAUAUUUUGAACCGCAUGGUUCAAAAGUGAAAGACGGUCUUGCUGUCACUUAUAGAUGGAUCCGCGCUGCAUUAGCUAGUUGGUAAGGUAACGGCUUACCAAGGCAACGAUGCAUAGCCGACCUGAGAGGGUGAUCGGCCACACUGGAACUGAGACACGGUCCAGACUCCUACGGGAGGCAGCAGUAGGGAAUCUUCCGCAAUGGGCGAAAGCCUGACGGAGCAACGCCGCGUGAGUGAUGAAGGUCUUCGGAUCGUAAAACUCUGUUAUUAGGGAAGAACAUAUGUGUAAGUAACUGUGCACAUCUUGACGGUACCUAAUCAGAAAGCCACGGCUAACUACGUG
rnacentral:rRNA from 1 species